CUCUCACCCUCAUUCUGUCAUUAUUUCAGUUCCAUGUAUUGUCUUCAUCUUUUUGGAUAAGGAUGGUUCUCAGCAGUGUGGCAGCAGUUCAGAAAUUGCGCAGCCUCGGUGAUGCGGUCGGGAAGUGCUUCCAUCAAAGACUUCUGUAGGUGUAAUACAUCAGAGACUGCAGCGGCAGCAACCGGACCUGAGCAUCAAAUCUCUCUCACCUUCUGCACAAAGGAAGGAAUCAGCAGAAACUGGGGCAAUUGCAUGAGACAGAAGCUUAAAUGAGGCGGGAAUAAGGAAUUCGUAAAGCCACGUUAUCCUCUCUCUAUCCCUCAGUGGUUUGUGGUUGCUACAACUAUCAAGGAAGCUGAACAGGUUUCUGUACGUGAUCUGUUUCGCGGAUCCGAUGUGACAACCCUAGACCUCCAGGAAAUUUAGGUCCAGGUUGGUGCAAGCUGAGGGUAGUGCUGCGGUUGUCCCAGCCGCAAGUGGUGCUCACCGAUGGACUGGAAGUACUGGAUGGCGUGCUGGGCAGGGCCAUGGUACAGCACCCUCCCUGCUGCCAGCAGCGUCAGGUUGUCAAACAGGCGGAAUAUGGAGUACCGAGGCUGGUGGAUGGAGAAGAUGAUGGUUUUCCCUUGUUUUGCCAUCCUGGAUGUAAAGAACGACAGAGAUGUUAGCUUUCCAAUUAAUCUCGGCAUUUAGAUGAGAGAAUUUGCAAGUUCAGAGGUGGAGGCCGGCAAGGGAAUGCUGCGGGCAUGCAAAGAGGACAGCACAGCCUCACACCACCAGCACAGGACCACGCAGCCCUCAUGCUCAGGAACACGCAUAGGAAAUUAAAACCAUUUGAGUAAAUAAGGACAAUGCAAUUCAGGCAAUCUGUAAGUUAAUUGCCAGCCGAUUUAGUGGGGAUUUGUAACCUGCCUUCCGUGAAAAGAGCCCUGUGUGUUAGUUGGGUCCGGAGAAAGCAGUGCUCGUUGGGUGCAGGUGUUUGCACGCCUAUUAUCUACAGUGCAUCAAUAUGCAUGGGUGAACCCUCAGUACAGUAGUUCCUGCAACAUAUUCUAACUUUUCACUUUUUACUGUUUUUCCUUUAAGCCUUGAUGCUUUUAUCCCCCAUUUAGAAAACAUAUUUACAUGAAUUUCCUGCCAAAUUUCUCAUUAAAGUCCAUUGAAAAGUUGGGAAAAGGUAGGCAAGUGUUUCACUGCUUUUUCCUUCAUAGUUGUAGGAAAAACAGCUGCAGAAUCUAAUUCCUGAGCAAAGGCAGAGUAAGCAAUUUGCGGAGGAGGAAGCAAGCCACUAAACAGAAUUAAAUCUCUCCCGACAAACGGGCUGAAGCGCCGCUCCCAACUCACCAGCAGCAGGUUCGGCUCAGUGCUGCAGGGUGCUGAGGAGGCAGCAGAAAGACAGCAGGAGCCGGGGAGGAGAAGAGCAGAGCCUGGUGCGUGGAGACACUGCCUUGACGGCUCCUCAGCAUGUGGAACCGCGCAGCGACACCCGUGCCAUCGCGGCUGCCGCGACACAGCAGCAGCUGUGUCCCCGUCACCCCGGGGAGUCUCCACCCUCCCCCUGGCGCUGGGGAAGCCACAGAGCUUUAUGGGGAGGGCAGGGCCAGGACGAGCCACGACUUUCACUUUUUUUUUUUUUCCCUUUCGCAGAGCAAGUUGUAGGUGAGCUGCAGCACAGCCCCUCCUCGGGAGCCGGCCCAAGCCACCCGCAUGGGGAGCGCUGACGUUUGGGUACAGUCCAGCAUCUUCACCGCCAGAGGCUCACGGCGAUGGCAGAGCCUGGCAGUGCCGGCAGCAUGUGGUGGAUGCCGGCAGGGUGCAGCAGAUGCUGGUGUGGCAUGGCGGACUAGCCUGUGAAGUCUUCUCCUUGCAGACAGGCGCUACCUGGGCAAUGUUUUCCUUCAGGUGAAGGCACUUGCGGUAAUGCAAAGGCUGCGCUGGCGCCCAUCAGAGCAGGGUUUUCACAGGAGAACAUGUGGGGAGGUAAUUGGUGCUGUGGAGGGAAACAAAGUUGAGGCACCUUUGUUAUAUGAAGCAGGGCCAUCAAUGCCUGACACACACCAUCAGUCCUGGACAGCAUCCCCAGGAGCACUUGGCAGUGCCAGCCACAGCUUCCCAGCAGCUGCAUGAACAUCUGGCAUGGGGCUGGUGGUAGGCACCACUCCUCCCAUCUGCCCCUUGACACAGCUUUGCCAGGACAGCUGAGCCCAGCAAUGCCAAAGAUGAGGCUGGCUGGGCUCUGGCGGGGCUGAGGAAACUCCCCCAGCUCAGCCAGGCUGCCCACGCUUGGCCCAUGUCCCGGGCACCAUUCCGCAGGAGGGCACAGCCAGCGCUCGGACAGGCACCAACCUGCAUGGUUGCAAUUGUUCUCCUUGGCAGAGUGACACAGAGGAGCACACAUUGCAGAUGGUUUCCAGUUAAAAGCAUUAGCUUUAUGCUCUCGUUUUCCUAGCGAGACUCAUCACUAAUUAAUAAACACCAAAGCUGCCCAUAACAGCCAUCCAGGUCAGGACAUCACAAGGCCAGAUUUUUUAGCCAGCUGUAACCUGGGAUGGGUAAGUAUCUCAUAGUUCAGGAAUCACGCUCCUAGGAUUUUGUUCUUUCCUUUAUUACUAAUUUGAUCAUAAUUAACUCUGUACUUUAGUUAUACCAAACUUCAAAGCAUCCUAGGAGCUAGUGAAGACUAUUGCAUAGUCCAAAUAGUAUUGAAGAAGGUGCAUGUAUGACCCAAUAUAUGCAAAAAUACUAUUAUGUCACUUGUGGAGUAUAUCCACAGGCUGGCCUGGAAACCUCAGCAGACCCUUUGCAGUCUCAGAUCUGGGCUAUCCCCAGGUGAGUCAGGAAAAAACAGUGUUUGCACAGGAUGCAGUCAGGGGAGGCUCUCGCUCUCAGCAUGGCUGGUACUCAUGCCGAAAUAAAACCAAAGAGCAAUAAAAAAGGAAUGGAAAACUAUAGGAGUUUGUUGGUGGUGUGUGUUUGUUUUUCCUCACAGAUACUUGCACUGCUGUUAAAACACAGUAUGAAUGGUUUUUUUCAGUUGUGGGCACAGGUAUCCUUGAGAUAAUUUCUGAGUGAGUCAAUACACAGUUGUUCCUGUCUUCAGACAUGGAGUAGGCUAUCUAAAGUAAAUCCGCAGCUCAUGCUCACAUUAUAGUCUGAGACACUGAGUGACAAGUAUUCAGCCUGUCUUUCUGCAGUUUCAGGGGAUGACUGGGGGUUAUUUAAUUUCACUCAGAAGUUUUCUCUCUUAGAGCACAUGUACUAGUUAGGCUGCUGGGACCAUGCUCUGAUGGGCGCCAGCGCAGCCUUUGCAUUACUGCAGGCUCUGCCAUCCCGUCAGGUUUGUUGUUACUGUGGGGCUGCCCAGGGCAUCGGGUGAGCACAGACCUCAUGUACAGCUGCAGAGCCAGAGAUCUGCACCCACAGAGGUGAGCGCACGCCUCACUCAUAAAUUCCCCCCGAUAAAUUCUUUAUCUGUCUGUUUCCAA